AAUCGGAGAAAGGAAAAUUCCAGCGGACGCCACGCCACUGAACGCUCCGAGCCCUUCUUCCUACCCUGUCCCCGAUCCACUCCCGGCUUCCCGCUCCGAUCGAUCUGAUUCGCCACCACCGCGCCCAUGGCGGACCAGCUCACCGACGACCAGAUCGCUGAGUUCAAGGAGGCCUUCAGCCUAUUCGACAAGGACGGGGAUGGUUGCAUCACGACCAAGGAGCUGGGAACUGUCAUGCGUUCACUAGGGCAAAACCCUACAGAGGCUGAGCUCCAGGACAUGAUCAAUGAGGUCGAUGCUGAUGGCAACGGCACCAUUGAUUUUCCAGAGUUUCUCAACCUCAUGGCUCGCAAGAUGAAGGACACGGACUCUGAGGAAGAGCUCAAGGAGGCCUUCCGUGUGUUUGACAAGGACCAGAACGGCUUCAUCUCUGCUGCCGAGCUCCGCCAUGUCAUGACAAAUCUUGGUGAGAAGCUAACUGAUGAGGAGGUGGAUGAGAUGAUCCGUGAGGCUGAUGUGGAUGGUGAUGGUCAGAUCAACUAUGAGGAGUUUGUCAAAGUCAUGAUGGCCAAUAUUUAAGAUAAAUGCAGUCUCGCCUCAAGUUUCUUGUGUUUGUCUACUUACGCUGUGCUUGGGAGAGUUGAGCUAAUGGAACAGGGCAAGAGAGCCAAGGUGCUGUGCCUGCAUGGCUUCCGCACAAGCGGGAGUUUCUUGAAGAAGCAGAUCAGCAAAUGGCACCCUUCCAUAUUUCAGCAGUUUGAGAUGGUCUUCCCUGAUGGCAUCUUCCCAGCUGGUGGAAAGUCAGAGAUAGAGGGCAUAUUUCCGCCGCCGUACUUCGAGUGGUUCCAGUUCAAUAAGGAAUUCACUGAAUACACAAAUCUGGAUGAGUGCAUUUCAUAUCUAUGUGAUUACAUGGUGAAAAAUGGACCUUUUGAUGGCCUGCUCGGAUUCUCCCAGGGCGCAACACUUUCGGCCCUUUUGAUAGGCUACCAAGCACAGGGCAAGGUGCUGAGUGAUCAUCCACCAAUUAAGUUCAUGGUCUCAAUAUCUGGGAGCAAGUUCAGGGACCCAAGCAUCUGUGACGUCGCCUACAAAGACCCGAUCAAGGUCAAAUCAGUGCAUUUUAUUGGAGAAAAGGACUGGCUCAAGGUACCUUCCGAGGAGCUGGCUUCUGCCUUUGAUGAACCUCUCAUCAUAAGGCAUCCUCAAGGCCACACUGUCCCUAGGCUUGACGAUGUGUCUGUGAAACAGCUUUCUGAAUGGAGCUCAUGCAUUCUGGAAGACCCCAAGAAUGCAAAUGUUCCCGAGGCUUUAGAUUCAGGCAAACCAUCUGAUAAGGAGGCUACUGGUGCGGAAUUCGAGGCCUUAGAUUCAGGCAAACCAUCUGAUAAGGAGGCUACUGGUGCGGAAUUAGCAGAAAACCUGGUGAAAGCUUGAGGAAUGCCCACUUUCAUGGCAUGGUUGCAUUUGAAACUUGUACCGUUUUUGCUAUGAUCUGAGUAGUGUGUGGAACUUGUUUGAUCGCAUGUGUAUUGCAUUGGCAAAACAAUAAAUCGUUAUCUAGAGCUACAACUGAAACAAAUGGAUUCAGACAUUCAGUGUGGUUUA